CCUAAGUCACCAAUAUACAGGUGCAAUAUGGACGAUCAUGCGAGAUCAAACAAAAGCAAGCCAUCUACUUUUCGGUAGUAGUUUGAUUUAGCAGAUUAAACCACGAACUCGAAGGUUGGUUCUACCGAUCUAAUCUACUAAAUCCGGAAAAACAAUUCGUACCUUAGGGCAAGUACAUUGCUACACGACAGCGGUCUCAUAGGUCGUCUCAUGCAGUGCCACGUAGGAUUUUUGAUGAUGUGGAGGAGAGAGAGCGAGGAGAGAGAAAGAGGUCGUUGCUUCGCGAAACAACCACCUCAUGAGCUAAAUUGUAGGACUACGAGACAACUUAACAACCAUUGUACGAGUUAUUGUUGCCAUGCAACUCAUAAUAUUUUAUUUUUCUUAUGCACAAAUUAAGGAAUUAUAUACCACCACCAGACAACUUAUAG
rnacentral:lncRNA from 1 species